GCCAGUGUGGUAUAGUGGUUUGAGUGUCAGACGAAAACUCUGGAGACCAGGGUUCGAUACCCAGCUCAGCCA